GGUCAAGUUAUUAAGGGUGCAGGGCGGAUGCCUUGGCACUAGGAGCCGAUGAAGGACGUGAUAAGCUGCGAUAAGCUUCGGGGAGUUGCACGUAAACUUUGAUCCGAAGAUUUCCGAAUGAGGAAACUCACUUAGAGUAAUGUCUAAGUAUCAUUAAGUGAAUACAUAGCUUAAUGAGGGGAACUCAGGGAACUGAAACAUCUAAGUACCUGAAGGAAGAGAAAGAAAUUCGAUUCCGUAAGUAGCGGCGAGCGAACGCGGAUUAGCCCAAACCAAUAAAGUUUUCUUUAUUGGGGUUGCGGACAUAUCAUAACGAAGAGGUAUCGUAAUUGAAGAGGUUUGGAAAGACCCACCACAGAAGGUAAUAGUCCUGUAUGUUAAACGAGAAGACUUCAGAUAUGAUCCAGAGUACCACGGGACACGUGAAACCCUGUGGGAAGCAGGAGGGACCACCCUCCAAGGCUAAAUACUACCUAGUGACCGAUAGCGUAUAGUACCGUGAGGGAAAGGUGAAAAGAACCCCGGGAGGGGAGUGAAAUAGAACCUGAAACCCUGCACUUACAAGCUGUGGAAGCACAUUUCUUGUGUGACCGCGUACUUUUUGUAGAACGGGCCAACGAGUUACGUUAAGUAGCAAGGUUAAGCACUUAAGGUGUGGAGCCGUAGCGAAAGCGAGUUUUAACUGAGCGUUCAGUUACUUGACGUAGACCCGAAACCGGGCGACCUACCCAUGAGCAGGAUGAAGCGAAAGUAAAAUUUCGUGGAGGUCCGAACCCACGAGCGUUGAAAAGCUCGGGGAUGACUUGUGGGUAGCGGUGAAAUUCCAAUCGAGCCCGGAGAUAGCUGGUUCUCCCCGAAAUAGCUUUAGGGCUAGCCUCAAGGUGAGAGAUACGGAGGUAGAGCACUGAAUGUCCUAGGUGGUAUUGCACCUACCGAAGACUAUCAAACUCCGAAUGCCGUCAUCUUAUACUUGGGAGUCAGACUGUGGGUGAUAAGAUUCAUAGUCGAAAGGGCAACAGCCCAGAUCGUCAGCUAAGGUCCCUAAAUGUAAGUUAAGUGGUAAAGGAUGUGGGAUUGCACAGACAACCAGGAUGUUGGCUUAGAAGCAGCCACUCAUUCAAAGAGUGCGUAAUAGCUCACUGGUCGAGUGAUCCUGCGCCGAAGAUUUCCGGGGCUAAAACUUACUACCGAAGCUACGGCAUCAGUAAUGAUGGGUAGGGGAGCUUCCCAUACGGGUUGAAGCAUGACCGUAAGGACAUGUGGACAGUAUGGGAGUGAGAAUGUUGGCAUGAGUAGCGAGAUGUGGGUGAGAAUCCCACAGGCCGUAAACCCAAGGUUUCCAGGGGAAGGUUCGUCCGCCCUGGGUUAGUCGGGACCUAAGCUGAGGCCGAAAGGCGUAGGUGAUGGACAACAGGUUGAUAUUCCUGUACUACCGAUAACCGUUUGAGAGAAGGGAUGACACAGUAGGAUAAGCUAAGCACACUGUUGGUUAUGUGUGCCCAAGCAUUGAGGCAGUCAAAGUAGGCAAAUCCGCUUUGAUAAUGCUGGGAUGUGAUGGGGAGCGAAAUUUAGUAGCGAAGUAGCUGAUUUCACACUGUCAAGAAAAGUCUCUAUCGAGGUUAAAGGUACCCGUACCGCAAACCGACACAGGUGGGUGAGGAGAGUAUCCUAAGGCCAGCGAGAGAACUGUUGUUAAGGAACUCGGCAAAAUGACCCCGUAACUUAGGGAUAAGGGGUGCCACCAUCAGGUGGCCGCAGAGAAUAGGCCCAAGCGACUGUUUACCAAAAACAUAGGUUUCUGCUAAGUCGCAAGACGAUGUAUAGGAGCUGACGCCUGCCCGGUGCUGGAAGGUUAAGGGGAUCUGUUAGAGCAAUCGAAGCAGUGAACUUAAGCCCCAGUAAACGGCGGCCGUAACUAUAACGGUCCUAAGGUAGCGAAAUUCCUUGUCGGGUAAGUUCCGACCCGCACGAAAGGCGUAACGAUUUGGGCACUGUCUCAACAACAGACUCGGUGAAAUUGUAAUUCCGGUGAAGAUGCCGGAUACCUGCGACAGGACGGAAAGACCCCAUGGAGCUUUACUGUAGCUUGACAUUGGGUUUUGGUACUACAUGUACAGGAUAGGUGGGAGGCUUUGAAACCAGGACGCCAGUUUUGGCGGAGCCAUCCUUGGGAUACCACCCUUGUAGUACUGGGACUCUAACCAUAGGCCAUGAAUCUGGUCUUGGGACACUGUCAGGUGGGCAGUUUGACUGGGGCGGUCGCCUCCCAAAAGGUAACGGAGGCGCUCAAAGGUUCUCUCAGUACGGUCGGAAAUCGUACGUAGAGUGUAAAGGCAAAAGAGAGCUUGAUUGCAAGACAUACAGGUCGAGCAAGGAUGAAAAUCGGACUUAGUGAUCCGGUGGUUCUGCGUGGAAGGGCCAUCGCUCAACGGAUAAAAGCUACCCUGGGGAUAACAGGCUUAUCUCCCCCAAGAGUCCACAUCGACGGGGAGGUUUGGCACCUCGAUGUCGGCUCAUCACAUCCUGGGGCUGUAGUAGGUCCCAAGGGUUGGGCUGUUCGCCCAUUAAAGUGGUACGCGAGCUGGGUUCAGAACGUCGUGAGACAGUUCGGUCCCUAUCCGUCGCAGGCGUAGGAAAUUUGAGAAGACCUGUCCUUAGUACGAGAGGACCGGGAUGGACGUACCUCUGGUGUACCAGUUGUUCUGCCAAGGGCAUGGCUGGGUAGCUAUGUACGGAAUGGAUAAGCGCUGAAAGCAUCUAAGCGCGAAGCCAACUUCAAGAUAAGAUUUCCCACCGCAAGGGUAAGACCCCAGAAAGACUAUCUGGUUGAUAGGUCGAAGGUGUAAGUGCAGCAAUGUAUUUAGCUUAUCGAUACUAAUAGGUCGAGGACUUGACCAA
rnacentral:rRNA from 1 species